rnacentral:lncRNA from 10 species
GAAGGGACAGACUCCAGACGCGCCACCUUAAGAGCUGUAACACUCACGGCGAGGGUCCGCGGCUUCAUUCUUGAAGUCAGUGAGACCAAGAACCCACCAAUUCUGGACACACAAUGAGGAACCAUGAUAGUGUUUGGUACAUAGAGGACACUGGAAAUGGUUUUCUUAACUGAACAAGUGACUAGAAUAAAGGAAUUAAUGAACGACAUCAGAGCUGAAAUCCCAAACCAUAAAUCAUAAAAGGAUCAGACAGCAAAGAGUACUCAAAAGCUGAUUUAUUGAGAUCCUGAUGAGUUUGAAGUAACUAGAAACUUGAUCAAACAGUGACAAGACCCAAGAUUUGUUUUACUCUAAAGUGAGAAAUUAUCCUCAACAAAAAAACAUUUCACAGUGAGAAUCAGAAGAAUAUUUGCAUCAGGCAACUCUGGGUGCUAGAUAUUUAUUUUUUUUCUUUUUCACAUGAACUAUAAAAACUUACCACAAAAGACUGAUCUCCACAACUGCUUAUACUCUAGGAUUAUUAUACAUUGCACUGUUCUUGCUGAUACUCCAAAGACAUGUAGAAAAUAGAAAGGUAAGUUUGCAGGAGGAAAAAAGAACAAUGGAAUGAAGAAGCAAACAGGGAGUUAAAAUAACUCCUUGGAAUAGUAGAAUCAGGAAAGCAAAGGUAAAGCAUUAAAGUCUAAGGGCUGCAUGACUCCUAAGGGGAAAAUGCAUGUAUUUCUUUUAUUUUGCACUGAGAUUAAAUUUGCUGAUUUUUUUUCAUACUGUGUGUUCUUUCGCUCCCAAUCCUCACAUAAAAUAUUUCAGGGUGACCAACUGCUCUUUUGUGUUACAUUUUAAACAGGUAGAUGACUUUCACAUGUAGGCAAAGUUGAUUCUAGGAAUUAUUGUGAGGUAAGAGAAAUGUGUUUGAGACAAGGUGUGGUCUCUUCUUCUUAAGUUUUCCUCUCUGCAUGUUUUUA